rnacentral:rRNA from 1 species
UGGGGAAUAUUGCACAAUGGGCGCAAGCCUGAUGCAGCAACGCCGCGUGGAGGAUGACGGCCUUCGGGUUGUAAACCUCUUUUAGCAGGGAAGAAGCGAAAGUGACGGUACCUGCAGAAAAAGCACCGGCUAACUACGUGCCAGCAGCCGCGGUAAUACGUAGGGUGCAAGCGUUGUCCGGAAUUAUUGGGCGUAAAGAGCUCGUAGGCGGUCUGUCGCGUCUGCUGUGAAAUCCCCGAGGCUCAACCUCGGGCCUGCAGUGGGUACGGGCAGACUAGAGUGCGGUAGGGGAGAAUGGAACUCCUGGUGUAGCGGUGGAAUGCGCAGAUAUCAGGAAGAACACCGAUGGCGAAGGCAGUUCUCUGGGCCGUAACUGACGCUGAGGAGCGAAAGCGUGGGGAGCGAACAGGAUUAGAUACCCUGGUAGUCCACGCCGUAAACGUUGGGCGCUAGAUGUGGGGACCAUUCCACGGUUUCCGUGUCGCAGCUAACGCAUUAAGCGCCCCGCCUGGGGAGUACGGCCGCAAGGCUAAAACUCAAAGGAAUUGACGGGGUCAUAGCUG